rnacentral:rRNA from 1 species
UAGGGAAUCUUCGGCAAUGGGGGGAACCCUGACCGAGCAACGCCGCGUGAGUGAAGAAGGUUUUCGGAUCGUAAAGCUCUGUUGUUAAGGAAGAACGAGUGUGAGAAUGGAAAGUUCAUACUGUGACGGUACUUAACCAGAAAGGGACGGCUAACUACGUGCCAGCAGCCGCGGUAAUACGUAGGUGGCAAGCGUUGUCCGGAUUUAUUGGGCGUAAAGCGAGCGCAGGCGGUCAAUUAAGUCUGAUGUGAAAGCCCCCGGCUCAACCGGGGAGGGUCAUUGGAAACUGGUUGACUUGAGUGCAGAAGAGGAGAGUGGAAUUCCAUGUGGAGCGGUGAAAUGCGUAGAUAUAUGGAGGAACACCAGUGGCGAAGGCGACUCUCUGGUCUGUAACUGACGCUGAGGCUCGAAAGCGUGGGUAGCAAACAGG